rnacentral:rRNA from 1 species
CGAACGCUGGCGGCAGGCCUAAUACAUGCAAGUCGAACGGCUCUUCGGAGCAGUGGCGGACGGGUGAGUAACGCGUGGGAAUGUGCCCUUAGGUACGGAACAACACAGGGAAACUUGUGCUAAUACCGUAUGUGCCCUUCGGGGGAAAGAUUUAUCGCCUUUGGAGCAGCCCGCGUUGGAUUAGGUAGUUGGUGAGGUAAAGGCUCACCAAGCCUACGAUCCAUAGCUGGUCUGAGAGGAUGAUCAGCCACACUGGGACUGAGACACGGCCCAGACUCCUACGGGAGGCAGCAGUAGGGAAUCUUGCGCAAUGGGCGAAAGCCUGACGCAGCCAUGCCGCGUGAAUGAUGAAGGUCUUAGGAUUGUAAAAUUCUUUCACCGGGGAAGAUAAUGACGGUACCCGGAGAAGAAGCCCCGGCUAACUUCGUGCCAGCCGCCGCGGUAAUAC